UGCGAGUUAGUGUAAUGGUUAGCAUAACAAGCUCAUGACUUGUUGGAAUUUGGUUCAAAUCCAUUACUCGCAC
rfam:Asian citrus Psyllid, Diaphorina citri - Florida Strain, whole genome shotgun sequence.